rnacentral:rRNA from 1 species
UACAGAGGGUGCGAGCGUUAAUCGGAAUUACUGGGCGUAAAGCGCACGUAGUCGGCUUUGCAAGUCGGGUGUGAAAUCCCCGGGCUCAACCUGGGAACUGCAUCCGAGACUGCAUUGCUAGAGUAUGGGAGAGGGAAGCGGAAUUUCUGGUGUAGCAGUGAAAUGCGUAGAUAUCAGAAGGAACAUCAGUGGCGAAGGCGGCUUCCUGGACCAAUACUGACGAUCAGGUGCGAAAGCGUGGGGAGCAAAC